rnacentral:rRNA from 1 species
GUAGGUGGCAAGCGUUGUCCGGAAUUAUUGGGCGUAAAGCGCGCGCAGGCGGUUCUUUAAGUCUGAUGUGAAAGCCCACGGGCUCAACCGUGGAGGGUCAUUGGGAACCGGAGAACUUGAGUACAGAAGAGGAAAGCGGAAUUCCACGUGUAGCGGUGAAAUGCGUAGAGAUGUGGAGGAACACCAGUGGCGAAGGCGGCUUUCUGGUCUGUAACUGACGCUGAGGCGCGAAAGCGUGGGGAGCAAACAGGAUUAGAUACCCUGGUAGUCCACGCCGUAAACGAUGAGUGCUAAGUGUUAGGGGGUUUCCGCCCCUUAGUGCUGCAGCUAACGCAUUAAGCACUCCGCCUGGGGAGUACGGCCGCAAAGGCUG